rnacentral:lncRNA from 1 species
UUCUACAAUAUAUUUUUCGAAAUACUUUUAAACAUGAUUUGAUCAUUACUGUGUAUUUUGUCUCAAUUCAAAUUAUAAACAAACAUUAUUUCAAUUCUCCAAUUAUUCUCAAAACAAUCUUCCCCAAAAUAAAAUAAAAAUAACUCUAAAAAAUUAUCCAAACAUUGCCUCAUAAACAUACAAAUACGCACACUCCAAUUUAAUUUAUCGGCGCACACAUACACAUCUCAACUCACCACUGUCGUCGCCGCCACCUUCAUAUCAUCGUAAAAAUCUCAAACCCACUCGAGAUUCAACCCAUCUCUAUCUCGCUUCCCCCACCGUCGCCGUAGCCAAUCUUGGAUCAUACUUCACCAUCCCUGCUUUGCCGGAUCACGAAUUGGCGGCGGUGUUGGAGAAGAUCUGAACUAAUACCAAUGGCGGCGACAGAGGUGGGCCAUUUGCAAGUGAAGACGACAAUUUUGAGAGGGGUUUGCGGUGGAUUUCGCUAUUCUUCAAUGGAUUCGGUGAAGCGGAGUCAUUAAACCUCGAAUUGGCGACGAUGUUGGAGAAGGUCAGAACUGAUGCCGGCAACAGCGGUAUCUGACAUGUCGGGGAAGAAGAUGGAGAUGUUUUGUUGGGGAGGGGUUGUGGGUUUGACGUGGAAGAAGAAACUCCUUAUCCUAUUUUUUUUUCUUUUUUUCUUUUUUAAUUAUUUAAUUAUAUUUAGGGUUCUUUAAUAUAACGGCAAUACAUUUUUUUUAUAA